UACGUAGGGGGCAAGCGUUGUCCGGAUUUAUUGGGCGUAAAGAGCUCGUAGGCGGCUUGUUGCGUCGGAUGUGAAAGCCCGGGGCUUAACUCCGGGUCUGCAUUCGAUACGGGCAGGCUAGAGUUCGGUAGGGGAGAUCGGAAUUCCAGGUGUAGCGGUGAAAUGCGUAGAUAUCUGGAGGAACACCGGUGGCGAAGGCGGCAUCCUGGACCAAUUCUGACACUGAGGAGCGAAAGCCAGGGGAGCAAACGGG
rnacentral:rRNA from 1 species